GCUUACGCCAUACCACCCUGAACACGCCGAUCUCGAUCUCGGAAGCUAAGCAGGUCGGGCCGGUUAGUACUUGGAUGGGAGACCGCCUGGGAAUACCAGUGCUGUAAGCU
rnacentral:rRNA from 1 species